CCCGCCCGGGAACUACGAGCAAAGCUUAAAACCCAAAGGACUUGGCGGUGCCCUAUUCCACCUAGAGGAGCCUGUUCUUUAAUCGAUAAUCCACGAUUCACCUCACCAUUUCUUGCCUAAACCGCCUAUAUACCGCCGUCGUCAAUUUACCCUUUGAAGGGACCAUAGAAGGUUAAAAGGUUGCCCACCAAAACGUCAGGUCAAGGUGUAGCGAAUGAAAUGGGAAGAAAUGGGCUACAUUUUCUAUUAUAGACCAAACGGAUAAUCAGUAUGAAAUCUGAACAUGAAGGAGGAUUUAGUAGUAAAAAGAAAUCAUCAAGUUCUUUUUAACAUGGCCCUAGGGCGUGCACACACCGCCCGUCGCUCUCUUCGACUCUUCCCCCUUUUUUACCUAAUAAAUAUCUUGAAUCUAGAAGAGAUAAGUCGUAACAUGGUAAGUAUACCGGAAGGUGUACUUGGA
rnacentral:rRNA from 1 species